rnacentral:rRNA from 1 species
AAUAGAUACCCAGGUAGUCCACGCUGUAAACGUUGGGCGCUAGGUGUGGGGGGCCUCUCCGGUUCCCUGUGCCGCAGCUAACGCAUUAAGCGCCCCGCCUGGGGAGUACGGCCGCAAGGCUAAAACUCAAAGGAAUUGACGGGGGGCCCGCACAAGCGGCGGAGCAUGCGGAUUAAUUCGAUGCAACGCGAAGAACCUUACCUGGGUUUGACAUGGCCGCAAAACUGUCAGAGAUGGCAGGUCCUUCGGGGCGGUCGACAGGUGGUGCAUGGCUGUCGUCAGCUCAUGUCGUGAGAUGUUGGUUAAGUCCCGCAACGAGCGCAACCCUCGUUCGAUGUUGCCAGCGCGUUACGGCGGGGACUCAUCGAAGACUGCCGGGGUCAACUCGGAGGAAGGUGGGGAUGACGUCAAGUCAUCAUGCCCCUUAUGUCCAGGGCUUCACGCAUGCUACAAUGGCCGGUACAAUGGGCUGCGAUACCGUGAGGUGGAGCGAAUCCCGAAAAAGCCGGUCUCGAGUUCGGGAUCGGGGUCUGA